AUGACAAAAGGAACGUCAUCCUUUGGUGAGCGUUGCACACACUGUGCUGUCGCUGUGGCUCCAAGGCCUACCACCUUCAGAAGUCAACCAGUGGCAAGUAUGGUUCCCCUGCCAAGCACAAGAGAAACUAUAACUGGAGUGCCAAGGCUAAGAGAUGAAACACUACCGGGACUGGUCGGAUGAGGCACCUAAAGAUUGUCUACCGCAGAUUCAGACAUGUAUUCCACGAGGGCACAAGACCAAAACCCAAGAGAGCAGCUGUUGCAGCAUCCAGUUC
rnacentral:lncRNA from 1 species